rnacentral:rRNA from 1 species
ACCGCGUGAGGGAGGAAGGCUCUUGGGUUGUAAACCUCUUUUCUCAAGGAAUAAGUUUUGAAGGUACUUGAGGAAUAAGCAUCGGCUAACUCCGUGCCAGCAGCCGCGGUAAUACGGAGGAUGCAAGCGUUAUCCGGAAUGAUUGGGCGUAAAGAGUCCGUAGGUGGUUGUGAAAGUCUGCUGUUAAAGAGCAAGGCUCAACCUUGUAAAGGCAGUGGAAACUACACAGCUAGAGUGCGUUCGGGGCAGAAGGAAUUCCUGGUGUAGCGGUGAAAUGCGUAGAGAUCAGGAAGAACACCGGUGGCGAAAGCGUUCUGCUAGGCCGCAACUGACACUGAGGGACGAAAGCUAGGGGAGCGAAUGGGAUUAGAUACCCCAGUAGUCCUAGCCGUAAACGAUGGAUACUAGGCGUGGCUUGUA